rnacentral:rRNA from 5 species
CCAGAAGUAGAUAGCUUAACCUUCGGGAGGGCGUUUACCACGGUGUGGUUCAUGACUGGGGUGAAGUCGUAACAAGGUAGCCCUAGGGGAACCUGGGGCUGGAUCACCUCCUUACCUAAAGA